CGGGGAUUCCAGAAGCUGGCGCAAGACCCCUGAGGCUUCCCACACUAACCAGGGGCGGCGGGCCCGGCCCUCUGCAGGCGGGGACAUCAAGAUGGAAUUGGGACCGAACCAAAGGACGACGAACAACGGCCAGAAAUGAAUGUGACGUCAAAUGGAACAGAGUCAUUACUGUUCCCUUUGCAAGAGGGAGCGUGCGCUUUCACCUUUGCAGAGGCUGGAGAGAGAACCGCUCAGUUCCCUGGGCUCGCUUGUAGCUUGGGUUCUGUGUGAUUUCGGUCUGACCGGCCACGUGCGCUGUGUGAGGCCUGACUGCGGGGCCGAGUCAUGGUCAUGUGUGUGGACAACACUCAAGAGGCUGCGUGCCAGGCACAGCGGUCUCUUUGGCCAACAGUUCUGGUGCUGACUUCCUAUCCGCAUGCGCCAGACAAUGAUUCCCAGGACCAGCACGCUCAACGGCAGCUUCCCAAGGCACCGCCAAGGUGGUGUCCCACCAGAGAGCCAGCGGUUGGGGCCCAGGGUCCUCCACCCUCUGUCAGGUCCUGGGUGGCGGGAAUUCUGCAGGGGCGUUUCAAAGGUCAUUUCUGAAAGCCCAGUUGAGAGCCCCUGUCUUCGGUCCUUCCAAUUAUUCUAUAAACACAAAAUCCCUCAGGGUUCGACAUAGCAAGAAUAGCUUCUGCACUGGAACGCUGACUGACAAAACAUAAGUUGUAUUCGCAAUAUAGAAAGGGGGUCUUUCCUACUUAUUAAUAAGGAAAAUAAAAAACCGAACCAAAGACAUGCAUGAACAAGCAGCCCAGAGGGAAGGACACGACUGGUCUGUAAACACAACACAACAUACACCCUGGUUGGUAUUCGGGGAGACAGGCAGGGGGCCCCUAGGACAGCCUUGCCCGCCAGGCUGACAGUCUCCGGGGUACCAAGUACAGGCGAGGUUACGAGGCAGCUGUCACUCAGCUUGGGCAGGAGCAGGGGGAACAUUGGGAGUUAUCACUGAAUACAGGACUUUGAUGCCCUACAGUCCAAAGCAUCACUCCUAAGUAGCCCUGAAGCAGCAUCUACCAACUCCUUACACAGUGAGAUGCAGAAAAACCACAAAAGUUUAGCACAUUGAGUAAGAGGAGGAAGUGGGGCCCCGGACACAGUAGGCCCCACCCAGCCACCCCCAGGGCUGGAAAGAACCGCACCCUUGUACACUCGAGUGCACGCCUGUCGACACGCCCGUUGGUAAUGCUGUCUCAGAAACCUUGGCACGCUUGAGUUAGAUGACACAGACAUGAGUGUCCAGAGCAGCCAGGUUCACGAUGGCAGAAAACUGGACACUGUCCAGGUGUCUAGCAACAGUGGGAAACAUCAGCAAAGUAGGGCGUCUUCCUGGUUCUGGUGCUUUCGUUCUUCUGUCACAACGCAGCCAGCAGAUGUCUCCCCAGGGGUGAGUGCUGGCACCCAGCAGCUGGUACCCCACUUCCCUCCUGGCUGGUGGCACCUCUGUGACCUUCCCUGCCACUCAGCCGACUGCACUGCCCCCCCCCAACCCCUGCCCCAGUGAGGGCGGGAUUUCAGCCUUGGUUGGGGGCAGGGCUCCUCCCAGUUAUUCCCUCCUUGUAGACUCCUCAGCCCCAGAGGUAGUAGCUACUUCACGCAUCCAUGAGUCUCUGCCCCUUUAAGUUCCCCAUUAACUCUCUUGGUAGUUAAGCCCUGUGCGCUUGUGAAUAAUUCUCUAUAUUAACUUUUUUCUGUGUGCUUUCUGUCUCCUGAAUGAUA